AAACUGAGGCCAAUAGCGGAUAUAACUCUCAGGCUGGAGUGCCGAGAGUUAGAAACGUUCCGGCGCUGUAGGAUGUGGCUGCGGCCGAUUAGGUAGAUGGUGGGGUAACGGCCCACCAUGCCGAUAAUCGGUACGGGUUGUGAGAGCAAGAGCCUGGAGACGGUAUCUGAGACAAGAUACCGGGCCCUACGGGGCGCAGCAGGCGCGAAACCUUUACACUGCACGACAGUGCGAUAGGGGGACUCCGAGUGUGAGGGCAUAUAGC
rnacentral:rRNA from 1 species